AUUGAACGCUGGCGGCAUGCUUUACACAUGCGAGUCGAACGGUAACAGGCCGCAAGGUGCUGACGAGUGGCGAACGGGUGAGUAAUGCAUCGGAACGUGCCCAGUCGUGGGGGAUAACUACUCGAAAGAGUAGCUAAUACCGCAUACGAUCUAUGGAUGAAAGCGGGGGACCGUAAGGCCUCGCGCGAUUGGAGCGGCCGAUGUCAGAUUAGGUAGUUGGUGGGGUAAAGGCUCACCAAGCCAACGAUCUGUAGCUGGUCUGAGAGGACGACCAGCCACACUGGGACUGAGACACGGCCCAGACUCCUACGGGAGGCAGCAGUGGGGAAUUUUGGACAAUGGGCGCAAGCCUGAUCCAGCAAUGCCGCGUGCAGGAAGAAGGCCUUCGGGAUGUAAACUGCUUUUGUACGGAACGAAACGGCUCUGGUUAAUACCCGGGGCUAAUGACGGUACCGUAAGAAUAAGCACCGGCUAACUACGUG
rnacentral:rRNA from 1 species